rnacentral:rRNA from 1 species
AGAGUUUGAUCAUGGCUCAGAGCGAACGCUGGCGGCAUGCCUAACACAUGCAAGUCGCACGGUUCGGGGGUUUCGGCCUCCGGGCAGUGGCGGACGGGUGAGGAACGCGUAGGGAUCUAUCCACGGGUGGGGGACAACCGCGGGAAACUGCGGCUAAUACCGCAUGACGAGCCGGGUCGAGGGACCCGGUUCCAAAGCUCGCAAGAGCGCCUGUGGCGGAGCCUGCGUCCGAUUAGCUUGUUGGUGGGGUAACGGCCUACCAAGGCAACGAUCGGUAGCUGGUCUGAGAGGAUGAUCAGCCACACUGGGACUGAGACACGGCCCAGACUCCUACGGGAGGCAGCAGUGGGGAAUAUUGGACAAUGGGCGCAAGCCUGAUCCAGCAAUGCCGCGUGGGUGAAGAAGGUCUUCGGAUUGUAAAGCCCUUUCGGCGGGGACGAUGAUGACGGUACCCGCAGAAGAAGCCCCGGCUAACUUCGUGCCAGCAGCCGCGGUAAUACGAAGGGGGCUAGCGUUGCUCGGAAUGACUGGGCGUAAAGGGCGCGUAGGCGGCUUAUAUAGUCAGGCGUGAAAUUCCUGGGCUCAACCUGGGGGCUGCGCUUGAUACGUAUGGGCUUGAGUGGGGAAGAGGGUCGUGGAAUUCCCAGUGUAGAGGUGAAAUUCGUAGAUAUUGGGAAGAACACCGGUGGCGAAGGCGGCGACCUGGUCCUUGACUGACGCUGAGGCGCGAAAGCGUGGGGAGCAAACAGGAUUAGAUACCCCGGUAGUCC